AGCACUGAAAAUGCUUAGAUGGGUAUUUUAUACACCAUAAACACAUAGGUUUGGUCUUGGCCUUUUCAUUAGCUUUUAGCUAACUUAUACAUGCAAACAUCCCCGCCCCAGUGAGAAUGACCUCUAUAUGUAUUAAUUGAUCAAAAGGUGCAGGCAUCAAAUUCAUCAUCCUAGUAGCUCAUAAUACCUUGCUCCAUCACACCACCACGGGAUACAGCAGUAAUUAAAAUUAAGCCUAUAAACGAAAUUUUGACUAAGUUAAGUUAAAUAAGGGUUGGUAAAUUUCAUGCCAGCCACUGCAUUCAUACAAUUAACCCUAGUUAAUGAAACACAGCAUAAAGCAUGAUUAAGAGACUAGCUAGAUAAGAUUAAAGUAUUACUAAACCAUAAAAAGUCUUGGUAAUAAUGAAAGUCAAACACGAAAGUAAUAUUAAAUUAUCUGAAUUCAUGAUAGCUAAGACCCAAACUGGGAUUAGAUACCCCACUAUGCUUAGCCCUAAACAUAAAUAUUCAAUAAAGAAGAAUGUUUGCCAGAGUACUACUAGCAAUGGCCUAAAACUCAAAGGACUUGGCAGUGCUUUACAUCCCUCUAGAGGAGCCUGUUCUAUAAUCGAUAAACCCCGAUACACCUCACCACCUUUAGCAAUUAUCAGCCUAUAUACCACCAUCUUCAGCAAACCCUACUAAGGUCUUAGAGUAAGCAGGAAAAUUCUACACUAAUACUUUAGAUCAAGGUGUAAGCUUAACUGAAUCAAGCAAUAAAGCACGCACACACAGCCCGUCAUUCUCUUCAAAUAUAUUUUCACAUAACCCUAUAAAUAAUCCAUUAAAUCAAAAUUAUAUAAGAAGAGAUAAGUUGUAACAAGGUAAACAUACUGG
rnacentral:lncRNA from 1 species